ACACGACCCAGAUUCUUACGGGAGGCAGCAGUUGGGAAUAUUGCACAAUGGGCGCAUGCCUGAUGCAGCAACGCUGAGUGAGGGACGACGGCCUUCGGGUUGUAAACCUCUUUUAGCAGGGAAGAAGCGAAAGUGACGGUACCUGCAGAAAAAGCGCCGGCUAACUACGUGCCAGCAGCCGCGGUAAUACGUAGGGCGCAAGCGUUAUCCGGAAUUAUUGGGCGUAAAGAGCUCGUAGGCGGUUUGUCGCGUYUGCUGUGAAAUCCGGAGGCUCAACCUCCGGCCUGCAGUGGGUACGGGCAGACUAGAGUGCGGUAGGGGAGAUUGGAAUUCCUGGUGUAGCGGUGGAAUGCGCAGAUAUCAGGAGGAACACCGAUGGCGAAGGCAGAUCUCUGGGCCGUAACUGACGCUGAGGAGCGAAAGGGUGGGGAGCAAACAGGCUUAGAUACCCUGGUAGUCCACCCCGUAAACGUUGGGAACUAGUUGUGGGGUCCAUUCCACGGAUUCCGUGACGCAGCUAACGCAUUAAGUUCCCCGCCUGGGGAGUACGGCCGCAAGGCUAAAACUCAAAGGAAUUGACGGGGACCCGCACAAGCGGCGGAGCAUGCGGAUUAAUUCGAUGCAACGCGAAGAACCUUACCAAGGCUUGACAUAUACGAGAACGGGCCAGAAAUGGUCAACUCUUUGGACACUCGUAAACAGGUGGUGCAUGGUUGUCGUCAGCUCGUGUCGUGAGAUGUUGGGUUAAGUCCCGCAACGAGCGCAACCCUCGUUCUAUGUUGCCAGCACGUAAUGGUGGGAACUCAUGGGAUACUGCCGGGGUCAACUCGGAGGAAGGUGGGGAUGACGUCAAAUCAUCAUGCCCCUUAUGUCUUGGGCUUCACGCAUGCUACAAUGGCCGGUACAAAGGGCUGCAAUACCGCGAGGUGGAGCGAAUCCCAAAAAGCCGGUCCCAGUUCGGAUUGAGGUCUGCAACUCGACCUCAUGAAGUCGGAGUCGCUAGUAAUCGCAGAUCAGCAACGCUGCGGUGAAUACGUUCCCGGGUCUUGUACACACCGCCCGUCAAGUCAUGAAAGUCGGUAACACCUGAAGC
rnacentral:rRNA from 1 species